AUUGAACGCUGGCGGCAGGCCUAACACAUGCAAGUCGAACGAGUGGCGGACGGGUGAGUAAUGUCUGGGAAACUGCCUGAUGGAGGGGGAUAACUACUGGAAACGGUAGCUAAUACCGCAUACCAUCAGAUGUGCCCAGAUGGGAUUAGCUAGUAGGUGGGGUAAAGGCUCACCUAGGCGACGAUCCCUAGCUGGUCUGAGAGGAUGACCAGUCAAACUGGAACUGGGACACGGGCCAGACUGCUACGGGAGGAAGCAGGGGGGAAUUUUGGACAAUGGGGGGAAGGCUGAUUCAGGCAUGGCGGGUGUAUGAAGAAGGCCUUUGGGUUGUAAAGGACUUUUCGGGGGGAGGCGUUACCCGCAGAAGAAGCACCGGCUAACUCCGGGCCAGGAGCCGCGGGAAUUC
rnacentral:rRNA from 1 species